AAAGCGUGCGCAGGCGGUUUUGUAAGUUUGUCGUGAAAGCCCCGGGCUCAACCUGGGAAUUGCGAUGAAGACUGCAAGGCUUGAAUCUGGCAGAGGGGGGUAGAAUUCCACGUGUAGCAGUGAAAUGCGUAGAGAUGUGGAGGAACACCGAUGGCGAAGGCAGCCCCCUGGGUCAAGAUUGACGCUCAUGCACGAAAGCGUGGGGAGCAAACAGGAUUAGAUACCCGAGU
rnacentral:rRNA from 1 species